UCCCCCUUUGAAAACACUAGCCGCCUGGUCUCCUUCCUCACUCACCCAUUCCCUUUCACGCAAAAGGAAGCCGAGAAUUCUCCAUCAUGCACACACAUCUCACCUAUGAAAAAAGUUAAAAGAAAAUCCCUGAAUUCCCAUUUUUCUACAUCCGGAUCUGAAGAAGAAAAACGAAAAAAAAUAUUAAAAAGAUUUUCUGAUUUCAGUUGUAUUACUUGGAGAAUUUAUGGGUUUCUCAUUUAUUUUUGGAUUGAAGUUGAGGUCAACAUUGUUGUUCUUCCGCUGUUUGCUAUCAAAAUCGUAGCUAAACUUCCUUCAUCUCCAUUUCUGCCCUUUAUCAGUUAUUUCAAGCUCUAUUUGUCAAGUAUUUUAGGGAUCUACUCACUUAUGGAUUAAGCUAUUGUUUGAACUUUGAAGCUGAAGCAUUGUUAGGCGUUAGCUGCAUGACAAAUAUUUUUGUGUAGUCUGCUCACUUAUGGAUUAAUCAUUUUGAAUUGUGGGCGGAGGAAAGACAUAUGUAUUCUGGACUCAUCUAUAAUGUAGUUUGCUUUGGGAUGUAAUGGACUCAUCUAUUGUAUU